rnacentral:rRNA from 1 species
UGCCGAAAGGCAGACUAAUACCGCAUAGUCUUCGAUGACGGCAUCAGAUUUGAAGUAAAGAUUUAUCGGUAAUGGAGUGGGGAUGCGUCUGAUUAGCUUGUUGGCGGGGUAACGGCCCACCAAGGCGACGAUCAGUAGGGGUUCUGAGAGGAAGGUCCCCCCACAUUGGAACUGAGACACGGUCCAAACUCCUACGGGAGGCAGCAGGC